rnacentral:rRNA from 1 species
GACGAACGCUGGCGGCGCGCUUAACACAUGCAAGUCGAGCGAGAACCAGGGCUUCGGCCCUGGGGACAGCGGCGAACGGGUGAGUAUCACGUGGAUAACCUGCCCUCGGCACCGGAAUAGCCCGGGGAAACUCGGAUUAAUGCCGGAUAGCCCCACAGCCCCUCGGGGCGGUGGGAAAAGGUAGCUUCGGCCUCUGGCCGAGGAUGGGUCCGCGGCGGAUUAGCUUGUUGGCGGGGUAAUGGCCCACCAAGGCGACGAUCCGUAGCUGGUCUGGGAGGACGAUCAGCCACCCUGGGACUGAGACACGGCCCAGACUCCUACGGGAGGCAGCAGUGGGGAAUCUUGCGCAAUGGGCGAAAGCCUGACGCAGCGACGCCGCGUGCGGGAAGAAGGCCUUAGGGUUGUAACCGCUUUCAGGAGGGACGAAGCCACUCGGGUGAACAGCCCAGAGGGUGACGGUACCUCCAGAAGAAGCCCCGGCUAACUACGUGCCAGCCGCCGCGGUAACAC